rnacentral:rRNA from 1 species
CAGCCGCCGCGGUAAUACGGAGGGGGCUAGCGUUGUUCGGAAUUACUGGGCGUAAAGCGCACGUAGGCGGCUUGGUAAGAUAGAGGUGAAAGCCCGGAGCUCAACUCCGGAAUUGCCUUUAAGACUGCCGAGCUAGUAGGUGAGAGAGGUAAGUGGAAUUCCGAGUGUAGAGGUGAAAUUCGUAGAUAUUCGGAAGAACACCAGUGGCGAAGGCGGCUUACUGGCUCAUUCUAGACGCUGAGGUGCGAAAGCGUGGGGAGCAAACAGGAUUAGAUACCCCUGUAGUCCCUGUCUCUUAUAC